rnacentral:tRNA from 1 species
CGGGCAGUAGCUCAGUGGUAGAGCUCCCACUUCUUAUGCGGGAAGACCUGGGUUCGAUUCCCGGCUGCUUAC